GUGGGGAAUAUUGGACAAUGGGCGAAAGCCUGAUCCAGCCAUGCCGCGUGUGUGAAGAAGGUCUUCGGAUUGUAAAGCACUUUAAGUUGGGAGGAAGGGCAGUAAGUUAAUACCUUGCUGUUUUGACGUUACCGACAGAAUAAGCACCGGCUAACUUCGUGCCAGCAGCCGCGGUAAUACGAAGGGUGCAAGCGUUAAUCGGAAUUACUGGGCGUAAAGCGCGCGUAGGUGGUUUUGUAAGUUGGAGGUGAAAUCCCCGGGCUCAACCUGGGAACUGCCUCAAAAACUGCAUGACUAGAGUACGGUAGAGGGUAGUGGAAUUUCCUGUGUAGCGGUGAAAUGCGUAGAUAUAGGAAGGAACACCAGUGGCGAAGGCGACUACCUGGACUGAUACUGACACUGAGGUGCGAAAGCGUGGGGAGCAAACAGGAUUAGAUACUCCAGUAGUCC
rnacentral:rRNA from 1 species